CCUUCGAUAGCUCAGUUGGUAGAGCGGUGGACUGUAGAGGAAUUUCUUGUGGACAUCCAUAGGUCGCUGGUUCAAAUCCGGCUCGAAGGA
rnacentral:tRNA from 2 species